UAAAAUGAUGAGGUUAGCACAGUCCACAACCCUGCAGGCAAAAACACAGACUGGAAAUUAAUUCACUGUCAUGCACCAGAGCAUUUUAUUUUUAUUGUUACAUCAUACCUCAGGCAGGUUGAUGGAACAGGUCAGCUGCACAGCUGCUUGUGCCUGGGUUAGUUAAAAGACCUGAUGGAGAACCAUGUGUUGCUGGAUGUGGAGUAACAUCAGUGGAACUCAGUCAAGUGUGGAGCCAUGAAACGUCUUUCUUAUUUCCUGUCUCCUGAGUGCAGGGCACUCUAGGUUAAGGUAUAACGUAGGUAUUCUGGAGUCAUAAGACAUGUGUUUCUGUUGGCUAAGGAAAGGAUUAGAAUGAGGGGUUAGAUAAGAGGUUACCUCUGUUGGCUCAGGACUUUGGGCACAUAUAAAUUGCUGAAAGUUUUGACAUGGAGCCAACAACAAAAUGUGUGUACUGUGUCACAUAAGGAUUAAAUAUUUUAUAGGUUUUACGCUAAGAGUGAACAACUAGCCUAGGUGCAGAUGUAUCAAAUGUUCUGUCGUAUUACCAGCUCCUAGAAACCCAUGACACCAGGCAUACUUUUCUCUUGAGUCACAUGAAUGUCUGCAUUGUGUAAUAUCCUGCCUCUAUUAAACUUCUGUUUUCAGCUUGCCUCAUGAGAAUUUAGUUGCCUGUGGUACCUUGUUGUAGUAAAUUAGAGCUAACUGGUGGGACGUGGCUACUGCUCACACACACUCACACAAUCAUCAUCUCUGUGAAUCUCCAGGAGGAUCUGGGAGAUUUUCUACAAGCAAGAAGGAAACCAGGUGCACACGUCCUCCAGAACCGUUCUUCUUUCCUGCUGAAGACUAAGAUGGCCACUUGCGGGUCAUGUUUCUGGUGCAUCAUAUGGCUCAUUGUUCUGCUGUUCAUUGGCUGGCCCAUCAGCAUCGCUUUAGGGGGUCUCUACGGUCUCAUCAGCCCCCUCACCACCUGCCUUGGCCUGGACCGACUGUCUGAUUUACUCCUGGAGGGAGCUAAUGUGGGCAGAACCUGUGCCAAUAACAUGAGGCACAGCAAGCCUUUGUGUUGAAAUCCAUCCUGUCUGAUCAGGACCAGAAAAAACAGAGGUCGAAGCCUUCACCUCAGGAAGAACUGUUAAUGUCUGAUUUAUGUGGAGCUAUUCCAGCACGACUGGUGCACAAUUCCCUGAGAAACCUUCCAGCAACUUAUGUCACAAUAAGGUCCAGAAAGUCCUGGAAAAUUGAUUCCUCUCUCACUGGUAACAUGUAAUUAACUGCAGAUUUGAAAUUUGCAUGGGUUUGUCAGGAAGAAAAUAGGCUUGCGGUGUAUGGUCUGUGUUUGCUGUUUAAUUCACAAUGACGCUGCGUGGAGACGAUAAGAACGAAAAUGCCAAUUUAACAAUGAAAAUAUUUAGACUUGGUAAUGUCUGUAUGGAAAUAUAUGGAAAUGCGAUUAAAACUGCUUUGAACUUGC